UACAGAGGCCUCGAGCGUUAGGCGGAAUCACUGGGCUUAAAGCGUGUGUAGGUGGAUGCCUAAGUACCUUGUGAAAUCCCACAGCUUAACUGUGGAAUUGCUGGGUAUACUGGGUGUCUUGAGCCACUCAGGGGCUACCGGAACAAGCGGUGGAGCGGUGAAAUGCGUAGAUAUCGCUUGGAACGCCAAUGGUGAAAACAGGUAGCUGGGGGUGUGCUGACACUGAGACACGAAAGCCAGGGGAGCAAACGGG
rnacentral:rRNA from 1 species